GAGCAAUGAUGAUGAGGUUUUUGUACUAGCUUCUACAACUAUGAAGGUUUCUACACUUGAUCUGAGCUCA
ensembl:snoRNA